GAUGAACGCUGACGGCGUGCUUAACACAUGCAAGUCGAACGGAAAGGCCCCAGCUUGCUGGGGUACUCGAGUGGCGAACGGGUGAGUAACACGUGGGUGAUCUGCCCUGCACUUUGGGAUAAGCUUGGGAAACUGGGUCUAAUACCGAAUGUGACCACUUCUUGGAUGGUGUGGUGGAAAGCUUUUGCGGUGUGGGAUGAGCCUGCGGGCUAUCAGCUUUUUGGUGGGGUAAUGGCCUACCAAGGCGGCGAUGGGGAUCCGGCCUGGGAGGGUGUACGGACACAUUGGGACUGAGAUACGGCCCGGACUCCUACGGGAGGCAGCAGUGGGGAAUAUUGCACAAUGGGCGCAAGCCUGAUGCAGCGACGCCGCGUGGGGGAUGAAGGCCUUCGGGUUGUAAACUCCUUUCGCUAUCGACGAAGCCACUUGUGGUGACGGUAGGUAGAUAAGAAGCACCGGCUAACUAUGUGCCAGCCGCCGCUGUAA
rnacentral:rRNA from 1 species